rnacentral:rRNA from 1 species
UACGAAGGGGGCUAGCGUCGCUCGGAAUCACUGGGCGUAAAGGGUGCGUAGGCGGGUCUUUAAGUCAGGGGUGAAAUCCUGGAGCUCAACUCCAGAACUGCCUUUGAUACUGAGGAUCUUGAGUCCGGGAGAGGUGAGUGGAACUGCGAGUGUAGAGGUGAAAUUCGUAGAUAUUCGCAAGAACACCAGUGGCGAAGGCGGCUCACUGGCCCGGUACUGACGCUGAGGCACGAAAGCGUGGGGAGCAAACAGG